rnacentral:ncRNA from 1 species
GGUAAGUAUAUAAAGAAACUAUUAUGGAUGGUAAGCUAUAUAUUUCAAGAUUUAUCUAGUGGGAACCUAGAGAUCAAAGAGAAAUCUUAUAAUCAGACAAAGUGAAUUGAAAUAUCUUAGUAACUUUAGGAAAAGAAAUCAAACGAGAUUGCUGUUAGGUGUCUUCUUAACAGCAACAGCCAAUAAAUCAAGUAAAAUGGAAAAAAAUCUGUUUGAAUAAAGGGGAACCUUCCUCUAAGGCUAAAGAAAAUAUAUAAGCGAUAGAGUAGAAGUACCGUGAGGGAAAAAGCUGAAAUAGUAGUUUUAUAAGCAGCUCGAGUAAAUUUUUAAAUAAAAAAUAAGAGCGUACCUUUUGCAUAAUGGGUCAGCAAGUUAAUUUUAGAUGCAAGCAAAGGUUAUUAGUAUUUAAUUAGUAUUAAAUAUAAUUAAAAAAAGUAAUUUUUGCUUAGAUAAACCAAUUAUGAAAAAAUGAAUAAGUAUCUAGAAUUAGACCCGAAGGCUAGUGAUCUUACCAUGAUCAGGGUUAUAAAAGCCCGAACGGGUUAUCGUUGUAAAGAUAUCCGAAGAAUUGUGGUAAGUUAGUGAAAGACAAAACUGACUAGUAUAGCUGGUUUUCCGCGAAACCUAUGUAAGUAGGUAAUUUAAUUAACAUCUUAGCAGGUACAGAACUGUGAUCUCGGACAAUACCAAUGGUAUUUGUCAACAUCGGGGGGUUGUAGCGACUUUACCGGAGAGUAUUUGCACUCGGAAGGGCAAAGAUGAAUAUUAAAUAAUCGGACAUAGUGCGAUAAGGUUGUAUGUCUAAAGGGAAACAGCCCAGAACAAGAGUUAAGGUUCCAAAAUUAUUGUUAAGUGAAAUUAAGGAUGUUUUUUUUUAAAACAAUCAGGAAAUAGGCUUAGAAGCGGCCAUUUUUUGAAGACCUCGUAACAGAGCACUGAUUAAAUAUUUAGGAGAAAACGCCGAAAAUUUAACGGAUCUAAAAUAAUAUACCGAAACCUUGUACACAUUUAUAUGUGGGGUAGCGGAACAUUGGAUAAUAAUCAUAUGAUUUACAUUUAUUCUAAAUGUAAAAAUAUAAAUUUGAAAUAAGGUUAUAGUAGUAUUAAUACUAUAGCAAUAUAGUAUUUUUAUUACUAUAAAGACUCAUGAUGUAUCUAAAAGAUAGGUAGGACCGCUUUUAGGAGAAGGUUUUUUAUAACUAUUAUAGUAAUUACCUUAUUAUAUAAGAUCU